GACGAACCGUGCGAACGUUGUUCGGAAUCACUGGGCUUAAAGGGCGCGUAGGCGGGCGGCCAAGUCAGGGGUGAAAGCCUCCAGCUCAACUGGAGAAGUGCCUUUGAUACUGGCCAUCUUGAGGGAGGUAGGGGCGUGCGGAACUUCCGGUGGAGCGGUGAAAUGCGUAGAUAUCGGAAGGAACACCGGUGGCGAAAGCGGCGCGCUGGACCUCUUCUGACGCUGAGGCGCGAAAGCAUGGGGAGCGAACGGG
rnacentral:rRNA from 1 species